GUAGACCCGAAACCAAGUGAUCUAUCCAUGGCCAGGAUGAAGGUGCGGUAACACGCACUGGAGGUCCGAACCCACUAACGUUGCAAAGUUAGGGGAUGAGCUGUGGAUAGGGGUGAAAGGCUAAACAAACUUGGAAAUAGCUGGUUCUCCUCGAAAACUAUUUAGGUAGUGCCUCAUGUAUCACUGACGGGGGUAAAGCACUGUUAUGGCUAGGGGGUCAUCGCGACUUACCAAACCAUGGCAAACUCUGAAUACCGUCAAGUGCGAGCAUGGGAGACAGUCCUGGGGUGCUAACGUCCUGGGACAAGAGGGAAACAACCCAGACCGCCGUCUAAGGUCCCAAAUGAUCAAUUAAGUGGAAAACGAGGUGGGAAGGCAUAGACAGCCAGGAUGUUGGCUUAGAAGCAGCCAUCAUUUAAAGAAAGCGUAAUAGCUCACUGGUCGAGUCGUCCUGCGCGGAAGAUGUAACGGGGCUCAAAUUGAUAACCGAAGACGCGGAUAUGUACGAUGUACAUAUGGUAGAGGAGCGUUCUGUAAGCCUGUGAAGGUGUCUUGAGAAGGAUGCUGGAGGUAUCAGAAGUGCGAAUGCUGACAUGAGUAGCGAUAAAGGGGGUGAAAAGCCCCCUCACCGAAAACCCAAGGUUUCCUGCGCAACGUUCAUCGGCGCAGGGUGAGUCGGCCCCUAAGGCGAGGCAGAAAUGCGUAGUCGAUGGGAAACAGGUUAAUAUUCCUGUACUUGGUAUUAGUGCGAUGUGGGGACGGAGAAGGUUACCUCAGCCAACGGUUGGAAGAGUUGGUUUAAGUGUGUAGGUGUGUAGCUUAGGCAAAUCCGGGCUACUUUAACACUGAGGCAUGAUGACGAGUCUACUUGUAGACGAAGUGAGCGAUACCCUGCUUCCAAGAAAAGCCACUAAGCUUCAGCUAAUAUCGAACCGUACCGCAAACCGACACAGGUGGGUAGGAAGAGUAUUCUAAGGUGCUUGAGAGAACUCGGGAGAAGGAACUCGGCAAAUUGACACCGUAACUUCGGGAGAAGGUGUGCCUCUAGUAGGUGAAGGUGUACAACCGGAGCCCAAUGAGGCCGCAGAGAAAUGAGGGCUGCGACUGUUUAUCAAAAACACAGCACUGUGCUAACACGAAAGUGGAUGUAUACGGUGUGACGCCUGCCCGGUGCUGGAAGAUUAAAUGAUGGGGUGCAAGCUCUUGAUUGAAGUCCCAGUAAACGGCGGCCGUAACUAUAACGGUCCUAAGGUAGCGAAAUUCCUUGUCGGGUAAGUUCCGACCUGCACGAAUGGCGUAACGAUGGCCACACUGUCUCCUCCCGAGACUCAGCGAAGUUGAAAUGUUUGUGAUGAUGCAAUCUCCCCGCGGAAAGACGGAAAGACCCCAUGAACCUUUACUGUAGCUUUGUAUUGGACUUUGAACAGAUCUGUGUAGGAUAGGUGGGAGGCUUUGAAGUGCGGUCGCUAGAUCGCAUGGAGCCAACGUUGAAAUACCACCCUGGUGUGUUUGAGGUUCUAACCUAGGUCCAUUAUCUGGAUCGGGGACAGUGCAUGGUAGGCAGUUUGACUGGGGCGGUCUCCUCCCAAAGCGUAACGGAGGAGUUCGAAGGUACGCUAGUUACGGUCGGACAUCGUGACGAUAGUGCAAUGGCAUAAGCGUGCUUAACUGCGAGACUGACAAGUCGAGCAGAUGCGAAAGCAGGACAUAGUGAUCCGGUGGUUCUGUAUGGAAGGGCCAUCGCUCAACGGAUAAAAGGUACUCUGGGGAUAACAGGCUGAUACCGCCCAAGAGUUCAUAUCGACGGCGGUGUUUGGCACCUCGAUGUCGGCU
rnacentral:rRNA from 1 species